UACGAAGGGGGGCUAGCGUUGCUCGGAAUGACUGGGCGUAAAGGGCGCGUAGGCGGCUCAUACAGUCAGGCGUGAAAUUCCUGGGCUCAACCUGGGGACUGCGCUUGAGACGUGUGGCUUGAGUGGGGAAGAGGGUCGUGGAAUUCCCAGUGUAGAGGUGAAAUUCGUAGAUAUUGGGAAGAACACCGGUGGCGAAGGCGGCGACCUGGUCCGAUACUGACGCUGAGGAGCGAAAGCGUGGGGAGCGAACAGG
rnacentral:rRNA from 1 species